GGCUAGUCCCAGGGAGGUUGUAUUUUACAACGAAUUGAUCACAACCAGUUAUAGACUUCUUUGUUCUUUCUUCACUCCCGCUGCUUCAUUUGACUAGCCUAAA
ensembl:misc_RNA Y_RNA Y RNA